rnacentral:lncRNA from 1 species
CUCAAACAAGGAGCUGCGUCUUGUCAUAAUCGCUCCUCCUACAUCCCUGUUCAGCCACUGAGCACAGCAUGCUGAGUACCUGGUCCCAGGCUGUGCCCUAAACGCAGGGAAAGCUGAGGCCAAUCACACAAGACCGGCCUGGUGAGGAACGGGAAACUAAACCAGCAACUGUACCCCGGACAGCGGUGGGAGGCAGACUGGCACAGAUUCAAGUCCAGCAUGAUGAUCAUGGGAAUGGGCCUUAGAGACAGAGAAACCCAAAAGCCAAGACACCUGAAUGUUCAGAAUAUGUCAUCUUUCUUAUCCAGCAACUUGGUUUACCUUAUAUAGAGCAAUGAAGUCACCAGGAAGAUGGGAUACAGGCAGAAGGGCUAUCUUAGAGGAAGUGAUACCAUAUCCUAUAUUGCCUGAGAAGUUCUAAGGAG